AAGGGAGACCUAAUUCGGGUAGAAGACGAAAAAAUAGUAGUCGAAACCAAGAAUCAAUCCCAAAAGGUCGGAACGAGGUAUGUGGCUUUCAAACUAGGUUCUGGGUUCAUAAAAGACCUGAAUCAGGAACAAGGGCUAUUAGCUCAGGUGGUUAGAGCGCACCCUGAUAAGGGUGAGGUCCCUGGUUCGAGUCCAGGAUGGCCCACCUGCACAGGUGGCAAAAACAAAGAAGGGAAGCGAGGAAUCAGCACCUGCUCUUAUCUAUAUAUAAGAGAGAAUGCUGGCUCUGAGUACAGAGUCCAGAGGAACCUUGAAAACUGCAUAGAGCUAGGUGAAAAAGCCAAAAAAGAAGACCGCAA
rnacentral:misc_RNA from 1 species